UAGUGACAGAUUAAAUGUAUUAAAUUUAAGCUUUAAGUAUGAAAUUUUUCCUUUAGAA
rnacentral:tRNA from 1 species